rnacentral:rRNA from 1 species
AACGAACGCUGGCGGCAGGCUUAACACAUGCAAGUCGAACGCUCGUGGCAACACGGGAGUGGCAGACGGGUGAGUAACGCGUGGGAACCUACCUCAUGGUGCGGAAUAACUCAGGGAAACUUGAGCUAAUACCGCAUGUGCCCUUCGGGGGAAAGAUUUAUCGCCAUGGGAUGGGCCCGCGUCGGAUUAGCUAGUUGGUGGGGUAACGGCCUACCAAGGCGACGAUCCGUGGCUGGUCUGAGAGGAUGAUCAGCCACACUGGGACUGAGACACGGCCCAGACUCCUACGGGAGGCAGCAGUGGGGAAUAUUGGACAGUGGGCGCAAGCCUGAUCCAGCCAUGCCGCGUGAGUGAUGAAGGCCUUAGGGUUGUAAAGCUCUUUCGCCGGUGAAGAUAAUGACGGUAACCGGAGAAGAAGCCCCGGCUAACUUCGUGCCAGCCGCCGCGGUAA